rnacentral:rRNA from 1 species
AGCGAACGCUGGCGGCAUGCUAAACACAUGCAAGUCGCACGAAGGUUUCGGCCUUAGUGGCGGACGGGUGAGUAACGCGUAGGAAUCUAUCCAUGGGUGGGGGAUAACACUGGGAAACUGGUGCUAAUACCGCAUGAUACCUGAGGGUCAAAGGCGCAAGUCGCCUGUGGAGGAGCCUGCGUUCGAUUAGCUAGUUGGUGGGGUAAAGGCCUACCAAGGCGAUGAUCGAUAGCUGGUUUGAGAGGAUGAUCAGCCACACUGGGACUGAGACACGGCCCAGACUCCUACGGGAGGCAGCAGUGGGGAAUAUUGGACAAUGGGGGCAACCCUGAUCCAGCAAUGCCGCGUGUGUGAAGAAGGUCUUCGGAUUGUAAAGCACUUCCGACGGGGACGAUGAUGACGGUACCCGUAGAAGAAGCCCCGGCUAACUUCGUGCCAGCCGCCGCGGUAA